UCCUGGACAGCUUCACCUGCCCCAGUUCUCCCAUCAUGGUAAACAGCACUUCAGUUCACUCCCAUUCCAGGGUUUGUGGCUCCCUCUCCUGAGCUUCCCAACUCACAGCUGUGGUGAUGGCCCAUACCCAGGACUGCCUGCUUUGCGAGGAGAGGAGAUCACAGGUGGCUCCUGGACACAACAGGGGAGGAAAGCAGAGAAGAGCCAGGAGAGGCUGGACCUCCACAUCACAGGACACUUCCCUGUUCACAGUUGCAUCACCAGAGUGGGGUCUCCAUGUUCAUCUUUGCCCUCCAGGACCUACCACUCUGAUACCACUUCCUGUCUGGUGGAUAAACAGAGACAUGGUCUGAGGAGCAACCUGGAGCAUCCUUGUGGAAGCAGAGGCCUUGCCCAGCUCCGCACACUCACGCGGGAGGUGUCGCUGCUGGGCUGAGUGGGGCGGACUCUCCCACCGCGUGGAACACAGAUGGAGCUGGCAGCCCCUCCCCGCAGCCCCCUCUCUGCCCCGGCGUAGGAGGUGCACGGCGUACCCUACCCCAAUCUGGGAGGGUCCGGAGCACGUGUGGGCCGCCCUUCCCGGCCGGAGGGGAGCGGGCGGGGGCCUCUCCCAUCACCCUCUCUGGGUCAACAGCACAAAAGCGGCGGCUGCGAACAAAGAAGCGCUGCAAACUCGCCAGGGGGGCGGGACAGCCCGCGCCGCACCCCCUCCCCACGCCCGGCGGGCGUGCCGGGCCGUGGGGUCCCCGACGGCGCUCUUACCUGGCCGGCGCGGACCUCUUUCUCCAGCUCGCGGUGGCGGUUGUGCCACACGAGGUAGUGCAGCGGGUACUUGCCCUCGGGCCCUUUCCUGGCGGAGGCGUUGGCGGGGAUCAUCGCCCGCUCCUCAUGCCGGGGCCGCGGCGCCCGGCCCGGGAGGAGGGACGGCGCCAG